UACGAAGGGGGCUAGCGUUGUUCGGAAUCACUGGGCGUAAAGGGCGCGUAGGCGGCCGCUUAAGUCGGGGGUGAAAGCCUGUGGCUUAACCACAGAAUUGCCUUCGAUACUGUUUGGCUUGAGACCGGAAGAGGUUAGUGGAACUGCGAGUGUAGAGGUGAAAUUCGUAGAUAUUCGCAAGAACACCAGUGGCGAAGGCGGCUGACUGGUCCGGUUCUGACGCUGAGGCGCGAAAGCGUGGGGAGCAAACAGG
rnacentral:rRNA from 1 species